rnacentral:tRNA from 1 species
GCCCAGGUGGCGGAAUUGGUAGACGCAAGGGGCUUAAACCCCCUCGCCAUUUAACGAUGGCGUACGGGUUCGAUUCCCGUUCUGGGCA